ACCCCUUUGAGUACUCACAAUUAUGGAUUUAUCCCGAUAAAGAAUUGAGAAAACUCACCCUAUCUGUACGACAAGGACCAUCGUAGUACACCUUGCUAAUUUAACUCUGGUUUAGAUGAUGUUUUUUUUUUACAUAUGGUGCCUAGCGAUUUUUCGUGAUACACACGAAGAUCAUGUGGGAAAAUAUAGUAUUAUAGUACAUUUUCGAACCAUUUUCAGCGGAACAAAUUCAACUUCAUUACAGCUGCAUGGACUAUAAUA